ACCUCCCUUUCCACCUGCUCUUGUAAAGCUGAUAUCCAAGUCUUCUUCGGGAAUUUCAACAUUUGUUGAGUCUUCAGGAAGAAGAGGCAUAACUUCAAUGCCAGUGAAGCUUGUCUGCACAGUGGCCACUUCAAAAAUUUAUGUGUUGUCCAUGUAUGUAAACGACAAGAUUCUUUUGCUAUGAAGAUAGAAAAACAGAUAUAUCAUACUAAGAUGCACGAUAUCAUAAUAAAGUGGUUAAUGAAACAAUGAUACAUUGCUCAUUUUUUACUAGUGUUGUUCUUAAAGGCUCGUUUAAGCACGCUUAAGCCCUGGAACUUGAUGAAAACCAGCUUCAUCUGGCUUAAUUGGCCCUUUAGUGUAGGUGUCAAAGUGCUAAGGUGUCUGCACUCCAAAAACAGGUUUAGUUUUUUUAGGUUAGAAUGAACUUUUUAAAGUUAACUUGUUUCUAAAAAUAAAUUAAGUAACCCUCCUUAUUUUAAACAUCAACAUCAGGAUCUGAGAUCAUGUGGUCCCCUUAUAUGAUCAUGAAUCCUACUAGAAUUUGUUCAUUUGAUAUGUCAUUUGAGUGUCUUGUAUUUAGGCAUAUUACAGUCCUUAUUUGUAUGAGUCCAACUUGUAUAUCUUCAGUGAAUUACAUGAUAAAGAAGGGGUUUAAUUUUCAUAGUACUAUUUCAUGAAUCAUAUCUAUCGAGACGUCACGCUACAUUUGUCUAUACAUGUUUUAGGUUAGUAUAUGGAUUUUAAAUAGUCCUUCCUAUUUACAAUGAGGACUCUCGCAAAUCCCUAUAUGAAAUUCAAAGAUUAACUGAUCUAUCAGGUGCACCUAUCAUUCGAGGACGAAUGAUCAUAAGAGGGGGAGGAUGAACACCCCGUAUUUUACGUGUACUGGUUUUAUUUAUAUAACGCAUUAAACUGCCUUGUGGUAUGGUUAUGGAUUCGAUUUCCUAUGCGACUAGUGGCAAUAGAAUAGGUUUAAGUGAACUUUCCAUAGAUUUUAAUGCGACCCAAUUAAGUUGAUAUCGAUGGAAGUAUUUAAACUUUAGAUCAUAAGGUGGUAUUUGAGUCUAAAGUAUAAAGUGACAUAGUGUAUAUAAGUUCUAAGUUAUAUUAAAGUUAUUAAGGUCUCGAAAUGGAAUAAAACAUUGAGGUGCUUGCUUGACUUCACUUCUAGUAGGUGAUAGUAGGUGCGUCACCUACUUUGACUUAUUGACCAACCAAAGGACCAAGUAGGUGCAUCACCUACUUGACUUAUUGACCAACCAAAGGACCAAGUAGGUGCAUCACCUACUAAGACUCUUUUGACCAUGUUAUUGGGCCAAGUACACUACCUAUUUGCAUUAAUUUAGCCCAAGUUGAACAGAAGAAUAAGGGGAAAUGGACAGCCAAGGCCCAAUCUUCCCAAGCCCACAAGAAAUAAUUUUAAUGGAAAACUAGGUGAAUCACCUACUUAAAUGUGUGGCCCAAAUUAUAGACAGUUGUUGGCUGCAAAUGAAGUACAAGAAAGGUGGCAAAAGGGCCAAUGUUCUUAAGACCAAACAGUCCAAAUGAAAAGUCCAAGUAGGUGGGUCACCUACUUGACAAAUUAUGGCCCUAAAUGAGUGAGAAAGUCGGCCAAAGCAGGGUGCCUUUAAAAGAGAUUGAUAUCAGCUUUUUCCAACCAUUUUUACUUUGACAAAAAAUCUGAUUACUAGAGCUUUAUCUCUUCUCUCUCUUAGAUUCAUACAACAACCAUUAAAUACCAUUAGGUUCUUGAAUAAUAGGUAUUUUCAAGCUAUUGAAAGGUGUAAUUUAAGACUAGUUAAGGAGGACAACUUUUACAUUGAAGAAUCCAAGUUUUAGCAAGCCGUAGUUAUGUCCAGCAAGAUCAGUGAUCUGAAGAGAAGGAGCUUAAGUCAAUACUUUUUGAAUUGUAUAGCAAGGUAUGUAAGGCUAUUUGAUUUCUUAUUUCUUUGGCAUGAAUCCAAAACUUGCAUUACAAAAAGUAAGCUUUCUAAGUGCCCUUGGUAGUGACUGAUCCAUAGUUGCAGUUCCUACUCUAAUAUGAGUUUGUUACUAAAUGUGCGUGUUUACUCUAUCAAGUGUUAGCAUGCAAGGUUUAAACUUGUUUCAUUGUCAAAUUACCCAUGGCAUGUAUCCCCGUUACAUAAGUCAAAGUGAUCGUAGACUACACAUGGUACAAUCUGCCUAUAUCAUGCCAACUUGCUUCCAUUGUUUAUAGAUAUGUCAUCUUGUCACAUGUUCAUAUGUUCCCUUCUUUGUUAUUACUCACAUUGUGUUAGACUAUAAUGUUACCUCACAGGAUCACUACUAGCUCAAUUGUACGUUUAUAUGUACUUACUUGGAAUAUGUCUCCGUCCUUAAGUUGAAUCUGCCCACAUUCCCCCUUGGUUCCACAUUCAUGAACACCUUGUAUUUGUAUCAUAUGAAGUUCAAAUCUCUUGGUUGAAUGUCAAAUUGUCUUCACUAGAUGUGCUUUGAUUUGAGAUAUCAAAAUGCUUACCGAGUCAUAUAGGCUCCUAAGUACUACGUUCAAGUCACAUUUGCUUCCCAUGUCAUUAUUAAUAUCGUAAGUUCAUAUUCAUAUGUCUUCUACUACUGGUCUGUAGAUCCAAAUCUAAACCAGGAUUAUGACCACCAAAACAACAAUCACAAACAAGUUAUGAACAUCAAAAUAACAAUAUCAAAAGAGUUACGAUUAUCUAAAGAACAAUCCCAAAAGAGUUAUGAACUGAUAAACAACAAUCUCAAAGAUGAAAGAAUCUAAGUGAAGUAAUCAAUAUGAUUAUGAGUGACAGCUCAGGGGCGAAAGCUUAGCAUGGGCCGAUCCCGAUUGGUAUAACAGGGUGGCAACCCAGGGGCAAAAACCUAGCAUGGGCCGAUCCCAAUUGGUAUGGAAGGGUGACAGCUCAGGGGGCGCAAGCCUAGCAUGGGUCAUCCUCUUCUACCGUGAUCAGCUGGUCAUUUGUAUCAUAUGUUGUAUAAAGAUUAUAAAAAGUACAGAAAUUUAAAGAAAAGAAUGUAACAUGCACGAUUCCACAAGUACAAAGCAAAGGUGGUCUCUAAUCCUUAUCUAUUGGUAUUUGGUUUCACUUGAGCUCAUGUUAAUUAUGCCUUACAUAUUCAGUACAUUCUUUCGAACUGACGUCCCUUAUUGGGGACGUUGCAUUUCAUGUUGCAGGUACAAGUACUCAACUAGUGGAUCUUUCCAAUAGAAGCACAUUAUACUCAGCGGAUGUUGGUGAGCUCCAGGUCGAUUCGGGGCUUUGCCGAGUCUUUACUAUGCGUAUUUUCAUAUGGUACCAUCAUGGAUUCCAGAAGAGGCUUUGUAGACAUUGUAAAGCUACCAUCUGUAUUCAUAGUUUCACUUAUCACAUAUAGCGGUUCAGCUAGUCAAAAUGUGUUGCAUAUGAAGCUUCUCAUCAGUAAUCUGCAUAGUAGUGUACUUUCUCAUCAUAGAUUACUUGUAAAGCAUGUGUUCAUAAGGUAUUAUUCCGCCUCACCUAGGGUUGAGGUGUGAAAAAAGUGUUGGAAAGAGUUUUCAAAAGCGGAAUGCACAAAAGUGCCAAAAUAUAUUUAAGUUUAAAGCACAAGGGCAAUUAAAGCACGAGCUUUAGCGAAGAAAAACGUUAUAAAGAAAAACAAAACUGUAAACGUGUUUGGCACCACUCACUGAUAUAACCAUUUGAUGCAACUUUCACACUUUCAAGAAAUCUAAUUUACAAAAUGCGAGGACGGGGUAUUUUUUAAAAACAAAAUGAGCAUAUAUUUUUUUCGAUGACAAGGGAAACUCGCAGCCGCUACUCUUUUGGGUGUGCACAGGGUAAAACCCCACUCCUAUGCAAUAGCUCGCAAACCACAUAGGAGAGGUAACCCGCACUAGGAAAGCCUGGUACGACGAGCUCGACUCAGAAGGCAAAUCCCUUGCUUACGCUGACAAGCGGUUUCGAACUUGAGACCUCCAACAUGGAAGUCCCAAGCUCAAACCACUGGGCCACCCUUACAAAAUGAGCAUAUUUUGAAUAAAAUCAAAGCUCAUUUAUUGAACUACAUCAGGAAAAAAUGUGCAUCAUGAUGUGACCAUUUAAGCUAAAGACAAGACAUUCUACACAACUUGCCACAUUCAACAAUGGACCCUCACUAGACAAGCGAGGGGAAGGGGGGAGAUCUCCAAAGUCCCCACAAAAUGGCCAUUAGGCUACAACAAUUGGGAGAUUAUGCCCAAAGAAUAUAAAAGAAUAGAAACUGGAAAUACUUGUGAAACAAAUCGAUCAACCACCACUACUUUUAAGUUUGCACUUAAGAUUAAUCAACACAAUAAACUCAUACAAGCUCUUGCUCUUUGGACCUAACAUGUGGUGUCAACAUGCUGCUCUGUCAAUCCUUUACGAAAUUCCACCAUAUGACUCAUAAAUUUAAUGCCACGAUAGUUCAUACAACUUCAAAUAUCUCCUCUGUUCUUAUAAAAUAUAAAUCAAGUUACUCUAUCACUUCCUGGUACAACAUUGAAAAUGCUUGGUUAGUAAUCCUACUCCAACUUUUCCGAGCAACUCACAAACCUCUAUAGAGACACAAUUGGACCAGAAUUUUCUAGUUCUCAUAUUUUUCAAUGCAUCUUUUACCUCUGUGGCCUAAUUUUAUGAGUGCGGCUAAAAGCUUAUAUUGUGUACAAAUAUAUAAAGAUCCAAAAUGUUAUAAUCGUUGCUCGAGUUGAAAAUUGAUCAAAAUAGCAUCUCUCCAUUUAUCUCAUUAUGUACACUUGUUUAAGUCCUUACGCUUCUUCUCUCUUAACCAUGAUAGUUUAAACAUGUCAUUCUCUCAUUCUUGUGUCCUUAACAUUUGGUAAAAUCCAUCUAAUGUUUUUCCCUAGAUUUAUACUAAUAACCUUCUUACAAUUAAUUUUUCUCUUGGCUCUCUUAUACUAUUCAACGUCUUCCUCUUUUUCGUCUGAUAACUUCCUAUAACACUUUCUUUAGCUCUAUUAACUCUUAGGGCUCGUUUGGUGUGAAGGAUAAUACCAAAUAGUCGUGGGAUUAAAUUACAAUACCAAUUAAUUUGUUGUUUGGUUGGCAAGUCCGGGAUGACUUAUCCCGGGAUUAAUAAUUACUACGGGAUAAGUUAUCCCUCCCCUUGGGUGGUAUAGUAAUACCGGGAUAACUUAUCCUGGGAUAAACUAAGUAAAUCACAAAAAUGUCUCUUUCAACCCUUUUGUUAUAUCACUUUUUACAUUCAUGAAGGGCAAUUUAUAAACAAACAAAUUGUACUAAAAAUUUAUUAUUUUGAAUACAACAAACCAAACACUCAAUAAAAUAUAAUCUCAUCAUAAUUAAUCUUAUCAUAACUUGAAUUCAAACCAAACGACCCCUUUGUAUCUCCUUAUACUAACACUAGGAUUCUUGUGGUUGAAAAACUAUCUUUAGACUUGCCUAACACAUCAUUUUUAUUUUCUUACUACAAUUGGGUUUCCACUGGAUGUCAGUGUCCCCCUAUAAGUCAAUGUCACUCCUAUAGUUUUUUCUUGAAACGCUAAUUGGUUACCGUUCUUCAAUUCCAACCCUCAAACAUGUGGUUCUAUCAUGUCUCUUAGAAAGGAUGAAGUUUAUUUGACUAUGAUUACCCUACUAUUAAAUGUUAUCAGGCGAGAGUAUCCCUUUUUAAAAUGUGUUUGCUUAGACUAAACCAUAAGCUAGGGUGAACUCUUCUUUCAUCACCCCUAGUACCAUAACCGUAUCCCCCAUGGACAAUUUUACAUGUUCAAAACCGUCAUAUGUUUGCUUGGAGUCACUUGAACCAAGGUAUCCAUAUCUUGACAAAAAGUUAGUUUUAGCUUCUGCAUCUAAUCCUAUUGGCAGAGCGUACGCACUAAUGACAUUAAGUGUUCUCAUUUACGCAUGCAAGACAUAAUGAAAUAAUAGUAUCCGAACAACCUUAAUCCUUAAGUUCUUGUUCUACAAUAGUUCCCACCCCAUUACUAUUUUUACCCCGACCAUUUAGUUUCAUGUAGUUAUGCAAUAUAGCUUUCCUCCUUUUUAAGGUUUCUACUAAUUCCAUCAACUUUCCAAUCAAAAAUCCUAUGUUCAAGCUUCUACUCAAGUUCAACUCUCUUGGACUAGCUUUCCUACCCUCAUUAGUUGAUUAUGCGGGAACCCUUCCCUAUUUUGUAACAUAUCCAGGAUGUGGCCAUACUAGCUUCUUUACAUACAUUUGUCCAUGACAUGGGACCCUUUCCUAUGUUGUACCACAUCAAGGUGUUGAUGUGGCAGUACUAACAUCUUUACUCAUACCCACCAGGCGACCACUGAUGCAGGAACCGCAGUUCAUAUUCCGUCACAUCCAAUUGGUAAUUUGACAGAAUCACUACCUUAUUUUUCAUCACAUCCAGGCGGCGAUGUAAUGUGUUCCUUGAUGAGCAUGUCCCAAUGAUACUAUUGUGAGAAUUCAUCAUGAACUGGCUUUUUAUGCUAGUUCUCACCCUUUAUUCGGACUUGGGACUAACAAUGUAAGCAAGCUCACACGGUAUGGUUAUCAUGCUUAUGGACUUUUAGUGUGAAGUAGCCCACUCAAACUCAUACGAAAUCUUUCAUAUACGUGUGAGUAUCU
rnacentral:lncRNA from 1 species